CGAGUUUGAUCCUGGCUCAGAUUGAACGCUGGCGGAAUGCUUUACACAUGCAAGUCGAACGGUAGAGGGGGCAACCCUUGAGAGUGGCGAACGGGUGAGUAAUAUAUCGGAACGUGCCCGGUCGUGGGGGAUAACGUAGCGAAAGCUACGCUAAUACCGCAUACGAUCUACGGAUGAAAGCGGGGGAUCGCAAGACCUCGCGCGAUUGGAGCGGCCGAUAUCAGAUUAGGUAGUUGGUGAGGUAAAGGCUCACCAAGCCAACGAUCUGUAGCUGGUCUGAGAGGACGACCAGCCACACUGGAACUGAGACACGGUCCAGACUCCUACGGGAGGCAGCAGUGGGGAAUUUUGGACAAUGGGCGCAAGCCUGAUCCAGCAAUGCCGCGUGCAGGAUGAAGGCCUUCGGGUUGUAAACUGCUUUUGUACGGAACGAAACGGUGAGCUCUAAUACAGUUUGCUAAUGACGGUACCGUAAGAAUAAGCACCGGCUAACUACGUG
rnacentral:rRNA from 1 species